AUAGAGGAUAUGGUACUGUUAUGUCAUAUGCAAUUAGUAUUGAUUUUCAUGUAACAAAUACUUUUCAGAAAUUAGUUUUUCAUCUACAGUUUGUUUGACACUGAAUCGAACCCUUUGUGAAUAAAAUAUGAUCGGGUUGGUAAUCUUCAAACUGCAGCAUAUGUUUCCCAAGGUUAUACUUGUAUACAUUUUAUUACAUGUCGGUUAGUCAUCAGUACCGUGUUUGCAGCCUUACUGUGAAUGUCGUAGCCAAAGAAAGGAAGCCAUUUGUACAAAUCUGACUAUUAUACCUAGACUUCCAGAUUACGUUAAAAAUGUUUACUUUAGAGGAAACAAAUUCACAAAUGUGUCAAAAAACUUUAUGCUUAACGUAACAAAAAGUGAAAUACGUCAUAUCUCAUUAGUAGAUAAUUCGAUCGAGCAUUUUUCAAGGGAUGCAUUUUAUGACCUGAAAUGGAUAAGAAACUUUGAGAUAUCAGCGGAACCACAAGUAUAUAAUUUGGACGUACGCUCUGCCUUUUUUAAGUUCAAAAGGGACAGCCUUGACAAAGUCAGAUUCGAAGACAACAAUUGGAAAACACUACCGCCAGAUUUAUUUUUUGGCCAGACAAAUUUAACCGAAGCGUCUUUUUCGGGAAAUGCUUUUGUAGUAUUUUCACCUUUACAAAAGUUAUGAUUGUUAAAUAUGUCUAGAAAUAGUUUGUCCACGUUCAACCUUCAAGGACAAUGUACACUUAAAAUAGCAGAUCUAAGCAAAAACUAUAUUGACGAAUUUCAAAAUUUCUGUUGUGGUACGUGCGAUAAAUUUUGUUGUCAAUCACAUGGAUGUAAAAGCAUAUCUCCAAAUCUACGGGUAUUGGAUCUAGGUUCUAGUUCCCUGUCUAUCCUUGAAUCGUCCUAUUUUUAUUGUUUACCUAGUUUGGAAAUCCUGAUAUUAAAUUCCAACCGUUUUGAAUCCAUUAAUGAUAUCUUUGUUGUUUUGCCUAGUUUUCAGAAACUCUAUAUAGAAAAAAAUCAACAAGUCACAACAACUGGAUCCACUGCUUUUAAUAUUUCAUCUCUAAGACUGUUGUCAUAAGAAGAUAAUAAUUUUCGUUUUGAUACAAAGCUUGAUAUACAUAAUUUUGAUCGAAAUAGUAUUUUUAAGUAUUUUUUUAAAUUUGGAAGUUCUAAACUUAGGGAAUAACUAUUUGGCCUCAGACAGUAAUACGUCAGUUCUACUAUUCAAACAUUUAUCAAAUUUAACGACUUUAAACCUUAAGAAUAUGCGACUCAAUAAACUUCCAACUGGCAUAUUUUCAAAAAUGGUAUCAUCGGAAAGUCUUAACUUGCAAGGGAAUAUUAUACGAUACUGGUUUGAUGGUACUUUUCAUAAUUUUAUAAACUUAAAGUAUUUAAAUCUGCAAAAAACAUUAAAUUCAACUGAUAAAUAAAACAUCAAUAAAAUCUGAAGUUUUACAACGACUGCUUCAGUUUGAUCUUUCAAACAAUCCUCGUUAAUGUGUACUUGUGGUCUCAUGUGGUUACGUAAUUGGAUUAAAAAAACCCAACGCUUUGUUUCUGUCUAACUAUCCACAAGGGUACAAAUGUGCGUUUCCAGAAAACCUACAGGAUACUCUUCUAGAAGAAUAUAAUCCAACGGAAGUAAUAUGUAUUCCAUGGAAUCCACUUUUGACAAUGGCAUUAGUUUUAUCCACUUCUGGAUUUUUCAUACUAGUUUCGAUGUGUUCUGUCUACAAAUGUCACACUAACAUUCGGAACUAUCUUUACUUAUUCCAUCUACAUCGUUUGCAAAAGGAUGGUUUUUUACAAUUAGACAAUAGUGAAGACUUUGCAUUCCAUGCUUUUGUUGUUUAUUGCAAUGCAGAUAGAGAAUGGGUCCAUGCAACGUUUGUUAAACGAAUUGAACAUGAAGGUGUAAGGCUUUGCAUUCAUCGUCGUAAUUUUGAUGUCGGUGUUCCAAUUUCAGAAAAUGUUGACAAAUACAUGAAAGAGUCGUGGAAAGUCGUUAUAAUAAUGAGUAAUGAUUUCGCCGAAAGCGAGUGGUGUCAAUGGGAAUGUGAUUGUGUGCAGGAACGCAGACGUCACCAUGGAAAAGAUGCAUGUGUUUUAAUCAUGCUUUGAACUAUUGAUGCUAAUCACAUGACCAGUUCUAUCAAAACUUUGUUACAAUCCAUUUCAUAUUUAAGAUUCAAAGAGAGAGUUGGAGAGGAAAUAUUCUGGCAGGCGAUAACUGAUGCGCUCCGGAAACCACUAAGUGUUCCUCCUAUGGCAAUAUGACUGUUAAUCUAUACAUAUGAAGUUGAUAAACAUUGGAUGUUUGAUGUGUACGGAUUGAUAAUUUAGUCUUAGAUGCAUGAUUUUUUUUUAUUAGUUGUUAGUGGCUUUGAACUAGCUGUCAGUAACUGCGAGUACUCUCAGAUCUGUACUUAAUGUCUUUUUGUUGUUUGGAGGUAUAAGUACCCGGCCACGUCCACUUGUAUUUGUAGUAUUUGUAUUUUUAUCCAUCUGAUGAGUUAAGCCUCUUUCAACUGAUUUUCAUAGUUCGUUCUUAUGUUGUACUGUUACACCACUGUCCCAGGUUAGCGGGAGGGUUGGGAUCCCGCUAACAUGUUUAACCCCGCCACAUUCUGUAUGUAUGUGCCUGUCUCAAGUCAGGAGCCUGUAAUUCAGUGGUUGUCGUUUGUUUAUGUGUUACAUAUUUGUUUUUCUUUCAUUUUUUGUACAUAAAUUAGGCCGUUAGUUU